rnacentral:rRNA from 1 species
GACGAACGCUGGCGGCGUGCUUAACACAUGCAAGUCGAACGGAAAGGCCCUGCUUGCCGGGUACUCGAGUGGCGAACGGGUGAGUAACACGUUGGUGAUCUGCCCUGCACUUCGGGAUAAGCCUGGGAAACUGGGUCUAAUACCUGAUAGGAGCCAUUUUUAGUGUGAUGGUUGGAAAGUUUUUUCGGUGUAGGAUGAGCUCGCGGCCUAUCAGCUUGUUGGUGGGGUAAUGGCCUACCAAGGCGGCGACGGGUAGCCGGCCUGAGAGGGUGGACGGCCACAUUGGGACUGAGAUACGGCCCAGACUGCUAAGGGAGGCAGCAGUGGGGAAUAUUGAACAAUGGGCGCAAGCCUGAUGCAGCGACGCCGCGUGGGGGAUGACGGCCUUAGGGUUGUAAACGCCUUUCGCUAGGGACGAAGCUUUUUGUGACGGUACCUAGAUAAGAAGCACCGGCUAACUACGUG